UGAGGAAUAUUGGUCAAUGGACGAGAGUCUGAACCAGCCAAGUAGCGUGAAGGAUGACCGCCCUAUGGGUUGUAAACUUCUUUUGUGUGGGAAUAAAGUGCGGCACGUGUGCCGUUUUGUAUGUACCAUACGAAUAAGGAUCGGCUAACUCCGUGCCAGCAGCCGCGGUAAUACGGAGGAUCCGAGCGUUAUCCGGAUUUAUUGGGUUUAAAGGGAGCGUAGGCGGGGGCUUAAGUCAGUUGUGAAAGUUUGCGGCUCAACCGUAAAAUUGCAGUUGAUACUGGGUCCCUUGAGUGCGGCAGAGGCAGGCGGAAUUCGUGGUGUAGCGGUGAAAUGCUUAGAUAUCACGAAGAACUCCGAUUGCGAAGGCAGCUUACUAAACUGCCACUGACAUUGAUGCUCGAAAGUGUGGGUAUCAAACAGGAUUAGAUACC
rnacentral:rRNA from 1 species